rnacentral:rRNA from 1 species
CUUCCCUCUCCAAUAGCGUAUAUUAAAGUUGUUGUGGUUAAAAAGCUCGUAGUUGGAUCUCGGCGGUCUGAGGGCGGUUCGCUUCAGAGCGCUACUGCCCUAUAGACCGUAGUUUUGCCAGAGGUCUCAGGGUGCUCUUAACCGAGUGUCUUGCGAUGCUGGCAGGUUUACUUUGAAAAAAUUAGAGUGCUCAAAGCAGGCUUUUACGCCUGAAUAUUCGUGCAUGGAAUAAUAGAAUAGGAAGUCGUUUCUAUUUUGUUGGUUUUCGGAAAUCGACUUAAUGAUUAAUAGGGACAGUCGGGGGCAUUUGUAUUCAAACGACAGAGGUGAAAUUCUUGGACCGUUUGAAGACAAACUACUGCGAAAGCAUUUGCCAAGAAUGUUUUCAUCG